GGCGACGUCGAGGCGUGGAAGGAGUCGAGGUGGAGCUGGAGAGGAGCGCCGGCGCCGGCGCCGUAGCUGGGCGCGUCGGCGUCGUGCGGCGGCGGCGAGAUGGAGAGCGCGGACGGGCGGUAGACGGCGGCGGCGGCGGGGGGCGGCAUUUCCACAGGCUUUCUUGAACGGUUCUUGCCGC
rnacentral:pre_miRNA from 1 species